GACGAACGCUGGCGGCGUGCUUAACACAUGCAAGUCGAACGGAAAUUCCCUGCCUUUGUGGGGUGCUCGAGUGGCGAACGGGUGUGUAACACGUGAGUAACCUGCCCUCGACUGUGGGAUAACUUCAGGAAACUGGGGCUAAUACCGGAUAGGUGCUCAUGCUGCAUGGCGGUGGUUGGAACGUGUCGGCUGUUGGGGAUGGACUCGAGGCUCAUCUGCUUGUUGGUGGGGCAGCGGCUUACCAAGGCAUUGAGGGGUAGCCGGCCUGAGAGGGUGACCGGCGCCAUAAGGCCUGAGAUACGGCCCAGAAGCCUACGGGAGGCAGCAGUGGAGAGUAUUGCACAAUGGGCGGGAGCCUGAUGCAGCAACGCCGCGUGCGGGAUGACGGCCUUCGGGUUGUAAACCGCUUUCGCCUGUGACGAUGAGGGAGUGACGGUAAUGAGUAAAGAAGCACCGGCUAACUACGUG
rnacentral:rRNA from 1 species